rnacentral:rRNA from 1 species
ACAAGCGGUGGAGUAUGUGGUUUAAUUCGAUGCAACGCGAAGAACCUUACCUGGUCUUGACAUCCCGGAGACCCUUAGGAAACUAGGGGUGCUUCCAUCUGGAAGAAUCUGGAGACAGGUGCUGCAUGGCUGUCGUCAGCUCGUGUCGUGAGAUGUUGGGUUAAGUCCCGCAACGAGCGCAACCCUUGCCUUUAGUUGCCAGCAGUUCGGCUGGGCACUCUAAAGGGACUGCCGGUGUUAAGCCGGAGGAAGGUGGGGAUGACGUCAAGUCCUCAUGGCCUUUAUGACCAGGGCUACACACGUACUACAAUGGCCGAUACAAAGGGCAGCGACACUGCGAGGUGAAGCCAAUCCCGUAAAAUCGGUCUCAGUCCGGAUUGGAGUCUGCAACUCGACUCCAUGAAGUUGGAAUCGCUAGUAAUCGUGGAUCAGCAUGCCACGGUGAAUACGUUCCCGGGCCUU